GGGGGGGGGGGGACAAAAUAUUAGAGAAUUUUACCUUUUCUGAGGAGAUCACAAUUUCAUUUCAAAAGGAUAUGCUGAGUAGGCCCCUAGUGACUUGAUCUGAAGACCACACUCUGAACUCC